rnacentral:rRNA from 1 species
UACAGAGGUCUCAAGCGUUGUUCGGAUUUAUUGGGCGUAAAGGGCGCGUAGGCGGCGGGGUAAGUCGGGUGUGAAAUCUCAGGGCUCAACUGAGGAAGUGCAUCCGAAACUGGCAAGCUAGAGUAUGUAAGAGGGUCGCGGAAUUCCCGGUGUAGAGGUGAAAUUCGUAGAUAUCGGGAGGAACACCGGUGGCGAAGGCGGCGACCUGGGACAAUACUGACGCUGAGGUGCGAAAGCGUGGGGAGCAAACAGG